GUCCCUGUAGUGCAGUGGAUAGCACGUUGGGCUUCUAUUCCAAAAGGUCGUGGGUUCGAAUCCCUCCUGGGAUG